rnacentral:rRNA from 1 species
AACGAACGCUGGCGGCAUGCCUAACACAUGCAAGUCGAACGAGACCUUCGGGUCUAGUGGCGCACGGGUGCGUAACGCGUGGGAACCUGCCCUUAGGUUCGGAAUAACUCCCCGAAAGGGGUGCUAAUACCGGAUAAUGUCUUCGGACCAAAGAUUUAUCGCCUUUGGAUGGGCCCGCGUUGGAUUAGCUAGUUGGUAGGGUAAAAGCCUACCAAGGCGACGAUCCAUAGCUGGUCUGAGAGGAUGAUCAGCCACACUGGGACUGAGACACGGCCCAGACGCAUACGGGAGGCAGCAGUGGGGAAUAUUGGACAAUGGGCGAAAGCCUGAUCCAGCAAGGCCGCGUGAGUGAUGAAGGCCUUAGGGUUGUAAAGCUCUUUUACCCGGGAUGAUAAUGACAGUACCGGGAGAAUAAGCUCCGGCUAACUCCGUG